UCCACACAGUCCAAGAGAGCUGAAUGUCCCUUUCCUCCACUCAGAAUUUCCUGUGCUGGUGUCAGAGACUGGAAAGAUCGAUGUCUUGAGAGCUUCUGGGACACGCGUGUGGAGGGGAAAAGGUCAGGCCUUCCCCGGGCAAGGCAGUGAACUACCUCACAUUUGCCAAAGGGCCUGUAUCCCAGCCUGGCUGAGCUGCCAAGUACUGACACACUAGAGGAAAUGCUCCGCUCUCCACCCCUGGAGCCCCUGACCCAGCUUCUGUGUGGCCAAAUGACCAGAAGUCCCACCUGGGGGGUAGGCCCAUGGAGGCUGAAGGAUGUUUAAGGCUCAGCAUGAGGCCACAUGUCCUGGUACUACUUUCAUCUUGAAGUAUCUAUCUGAACACCACUGGAACUCAGGAGUUUGUAUCUUUA